rnacentral:rRNA from 1 species
UACAGAGGGGGCAAGCGUUGUUCGGAAUUACUGGGCGUAAAGGGCGCGUAGGCGGCCUGCUAAGUCGAACGUGAAAUCCCUGGGCUCAACCCAGGAACUGCGUCCGAUACUGGUUGGCUUGAAUCUGGGAGAGGGAUGUGGAAUUCCAGGUGUAGCGGUGAAAUGCGUAGAUAUCUGGAGGAAUACCGGUGGCGAAGGCGGCAUCCUGGACCGAGAUUGACACUGAUGAGCGAAAGCCAGGGGAGCAAACGGG